GCACUCUUCGGAGUGAGCGGCGGACGGGUUAGUAACGCGUGGGAACGUGCCCUUCUCUAAGGAAUAGCCACUGGAAACGGUGAGUAAUACCUUAUACGCCCUUCGGGGGAAAGAUUUAUCGGAGAAGGAUCGGCCCGCGUUAGAUUAGAUAGUUGGUGGGGUAACGGCCUACCAAGUCUACGAUCUAUAGCUGGUUUUAGAGGAUGAUCAGCAACACUGGGACUGAGACACGGCCCAGACUCCUACGGGAGGCAGCAGUGGGGAAUCUUGGACAAUGGGCGCAAGCCUGAUCCAGCCAUGCCGCGUGAGUGAUGAAGGCCUUAGGGUCGUAAAGCUCUUUCGCCAGAGAUGAUAAUGACAGUAUCUGGUAAAGAAACCCCGGCUAACUCCGUGCCAGCAGCCGCGGUAAUACGGAGGGGGUUAGCGUUGUUCGGAAUUACUGGGCGUAAAGCGCACGUAGGCGGAUCAGAAAGUUGGGGGUGAAAUCCCAGGGCUCAACCCUGGAACUGCCUCCAAAACUCCUGGUCUUGAGUUCGAGAGAGGUGAGUGGAAUUCCGAGUGUAGAGGUGAAAUUCGUAGAUAUUCGGAGGAACACCAGUGGCGAAGGCGGCUCACUGGCUCGAUACUGACGCUGAGGUGCGAAAGUGUGGGGAGCAAACAGGAUUAGAUACCCUGGUAGUCCACACCGUAAACGAUGAAUGCCAGUCGUCAGCAAGCAUGCUUGUUGGUGACACACCUAACGGAUUAAGCAUUCCGCCUGGGGAGUACGGUCGCAAGAUUAAAACUCAAAGGAAUUGACGGGGGCCC
rnacentral:rRNA from 1 species